rnacentral:rRNA from 1 species
CAGUCGUACCGGCGGAUAAUCAGCCUUUCGGGUGCGAUUCUGUGGAGUGUGAGGAGCUUAAAACACCUUCAUGUUUUGCAUAUUCGUACUCUUGGGUGUACUUGCCCGUAUGGUUGGUUAACAUCAAUUUUGGUGGUCAUAGAAUGACUGGAGGAAUGUAGCUUCGAUCUUGUAUUGAAGUGUUAUAGCCUUGGUA